UUUUACGUCAUUCCAUUUUUUUUCACAACAUGAAGAUUUCUUUUGAAAAGUAGAAACCUUCCAGAUUCAGUGAUCAGAGCUUAAGGGAACACACUGGGAGAGAAAUAAGGGAUCAUAAGAGAAAAUAAUAAAGGAGUCAUCAAAUCUGUUGAACUCAAAGACACAGUCAUCGGGGAAGUGAAGACCAGAACCAAAGGAUAUUUGGAAAAGCAGAAAAUUAAAGAGAAGAGGAGACAGAGGAGAUCAAAGAAGGGAAGAGCUGAACAAACCAGAGGAGAAGCAGCUGAGAAGAAGCAGAAGUUGUUGGAACAGCAACAGAAAGAAUUACAGGAAUUAAUGGAAGCUCAGAAGGGGUCUCAUGAAGAAAACAUUGAGGAAUUGAGAAGGAAGAUGAGGGAAGAUUGGCAACAGAUCAUGAGAGAUCACGAAAGGAUUCUAAAUAUUAAUCUAAAGGAACAAAAGAAGAUGGUGGAGGAAGGAUUUCAGAAGGAAGCUGACCAGAUGGCCAAAGAGAUAAACGACCUAAAAGAAAAAAAUUAAAUCUGCUGAAAGAAAUAAAACCCCCUGGAUAGUCACAGCUCUAUAUAGUUUAGGCACUACAAUGAUGACUACUUUACCUGGUGCAGGAAAAGUGAUUGAUAUGGUAUGUAAGAAAAUGGGCCACUGUGUGGCAAAAAAAAUCCCAAUGAGACCUCCUUACAUGUAUGUGUGUGUAUUUGAGUUUCCUGCUUCUAAUUCUCCCAAAGCUGAUGCUACCAGAAAAAUUGCUAUAAAGAACAUUCAUCUAUCUAGUAUUAGUUAAAUGCAGCUUCAUUCUACUUCAUGAAUUAAGGUAAAGAGUCUGGGAGAAAGGAAACCCCCAUUCCUUUCCAUGACUUCAGAGUUAGACAAAGGCUGGAGAGUCAUGGAAUCUAACUGCCUCAUUUAAACAUGGUUCCUUGAUGCUAUGGGUAGGGCAGAAUUUGAAAUCAGGGAGAUCUGAGUUCAAAUCUCCCAUUAGACAUGUAGACAUUAUAGAGAAAGACACAGAAUUUCUCUGGGUUUCAGUUUCCUCACCCAUGCAAUGGGGGUGAUAUAAUAGCACCUACCUGACAGAUUUGUGACAGGGAUUAAAUGAGUAAAGCUCUUUGGAAACGUUAAAGUGCUAUAUAAAUGUGAGCUACUUAUAGUAAGAAACUACGAGGCCCAGACAUACACUGUAAUCUCCCCCCAAUCACACAUAAAAUAGGGCUUCAAUGGAGGCCUCUUUUUUCCAUUUGAAUUAGUUCAUUUACUCAAUUUAGAACAUUAAUUGGAGGCCUCUUGACUUUGAUAUGUUCUGACAACUAUGGAGAACAAGGUCCUUUACCCCUCUUCAGAGAUAACCACACUCAAAUUUAUCCCUGUGAUUCUUUAGACUCCAAGAAGUUCAAGUGAAAUGGUCCCUGAUUUCAGAACCCCCAAUUAAGCUCUCAAGUAUCAAGAUUGUGUGUGAUCAAUGAAAAAGGUAUUGAAGUUAUAGUCAGAAGACCUGAGCUCAAAUGCCAAUUCUAAUACUUAUUGUCUAUGUGACCUUGGAUAAAUCACUUAACCUUCCCCAGCCUCAGUUUCUGUCACUGUAAAAUGAGGAAGCUCAGCUAGAUGAUCUCUUGGGUCCUUUCCAGCUUUAAUCUUAUUUCUUUUGAGUGGGUAGUAGAUAGAGGUCCCAGAAUCCUCUUGCCCACUGUUGCCCAUGAGAUGGCCAACCAAGAGUUCCCUCAUCCUAUAAACUGACUUUGUAAACUCUACCCUUACAAUCUCCAAACAAAGAGAGCCAUCUGUUAACUACUUUUUAAGUGAGUAUAGCUAUAUGCUUUAUGCCAAGUCUGAAUAGAAUUUUUUCCCAACUUGUAAUUUAGGGAUCCCAAAUGUUCUUGGAUCAUGCUUAGUGUUUUAAUAAAUUUCCAUAGCAUCCCUGCAACAAAAGUUAUACCUAACAGUUCCAUUUAUUAAAUACCCUAACAAGUAUUUAUGUCCUAACAAUUUAGUGGCUAUUUGAAAAAAAUUAAUAUACAUAAAAGGAAAAGGGAAAAUAUAUUUUAUUUCAUUCUUAGUCACAAUUUCUAAUAUAUGUACGUGCUUCUGGGGCACAGUGAAACUUCUCAAACCUUAGAAUCUGAUUGGGCACGAUCCCCACCCAAACCCAUUUCCUGUCCGACACUGAUUUUUGCUCAGUACUUGCUUUUUCACUCAGCAACUGCCACAAACCCAGUUUCACAGAGAGACAAGAACUUACCAUCUUGGAAAAAAACACAAGUGAACAGACUAUUUUCUCACACAUUCCAAACUGUUAUCCAAAGGAACGUAGAGUGAUCUAAUGCUGAAUUUAUAAACUAUCUCUAGGCAGUAGUUUUCCUAUUGUCAGACAGCUGUUGGGUAACCCUGUGUUUCUUUCCCUUAAAAAUUAAAAUAUCACAGGAUGCCCCUUGAAUUCUCUAUGGCUCCAUGGAGAGCCCCAUCAUACAGUGUGAGAGUCACUUGCAAUUCAGCCUUCUCGGACCAAGAAGAGACAAUCUAAUGUCUUUUCCACCUGGCACCCCUCUGUAGCACCAGGGCCUCAAAAGUAAACUGGUAGAAAUCUCCAACCAUUUCAAUACUAAUUUCUUAAGGCUUCAUUUCACCUGGGCUUUUAUGGUCAUAAUCCACCUAAGGAACAAUGAUAAUUCCCAGACUUUUACUUUUGUCUGAGUGGAUUCAGGGACCUCUCUUACCAGAACUCACCUUCUGAUGAAUGACUUCAAUGUUACCUAUCUCUGAAGGGAAAACCUCUCCAUUCUAUCACCAUCCACCAGAAUCAGGAAAUAAAAUACUUUUCCUUGGGUGAAUUUCAAGGACAUUGCUUCAUAACGGGAAAGUGAAAAGAUGCUGGGGGCCAUCAGUCCAUGACACCUUGACAGAGUCACACGUGGUAGCUGGGGAGACCACAGAGUGGUCCUUGGCAAGAUGUGACUUCCCACUCUAACCCUCUUGAAGGACCUCUUUCAUCAAUGGCCCUUACCAAUUAAUUAACAUGAUUAUUAUUCCCCCUAGUCUCAAAAGAAAUAAUGUAAGAACAAAACACCUGUACCCUAAUUCUCUAAAACAUCACCAAAAAUCAGACCGUUAAACCCAAUCCCAAAAAGAUAAUCAUGGGUUAACUUUUACUUAGGUACAUAAUUCUCAGCAAAACUGCAGCUACAGGCCAAGCACAAACAAUUUCCCCACUCACAGAAACCUAUUCUCAUGAAGCCAGCACACAAAUCAAUCACAGAGGCCCAAGUGAUAAGUGCAAGUACAUCAAGCUUCAGUAUGACUCAAUGACUUGAUUAUACAAACAAGUAACUCAGAAACUCACUAGAAGCCACCAGUCUAAAUUUGAAUUAUGUUCCCAAUACUCCUCAACUCAAUGAUAUGAUUGUCAAAUUAUCUUUUAAGAAUUGUUGAUUAAUUAUUCCAUUUUAUUAAAACCAAUAAGUAAUUUUCCAUGAUUGUAAGCUCAAAACUUCUCACAGGGUAAUGAGAAAAUUAAGCCACCUGUGAUGAAAUCAUUUAUCUUGUAUGUAACCUUUAUUCUGUCUUUAAUCACAAUACAGAAAUAUAGAAUGUUAUUCAAGUGAUUUGUUAAAAGUUAAUGUAUCACUUUUCCAAUUAAUCUCUCUUUGAUUUUGUGUAUCUGCAUGUCAAGAAAAUAGGUAUAAAAAUAAAAACCAGACUUCGGGAUGGUGGAGCAGCUGUCAGAUGCAAAGCAAUCUCAUGGCUGUUAUGAUUAA